rnacentral:rRNA from 1 species
GAUGAACGCUGGCGGCGUGCUUAACAUAUGCAAGUCGAACGAUGAAGCCCAGCUUGCUGGGUGGAUUAGUGGCGAACGGGUGAGUAACACGUGAGUAACCUGCCCUUAACUCUGGGAUAAGCCUGGGAAACUGGGUCUAAUACCGGAUAGGAGCGUCCACCGCAUGGUGGGUGUUGGAGAGAUUUAUCGGUUUUGGAUGGACUCGCGGCCUAUCAGCUUGUUGGUGAGGUAAUGGCUCACCAAGGCGACGACGGGUAGCCGGCCUGAGAGGGUGACCGGCCACACUGGGACUGAGACACGGCCCAGACUCCUACGGGAGGCAGCAGUGGGGAAUAUUGCACAAUGGGCGCAAGCCUGAUGCAGCGACGCCGCGUGAGGGAUGACGGCCUUCGGGUUGUAAACCUCUUUCAGUAGGGAAGAAGCGAAAGUGACGGUACCUGCAGAAGAAGCACCGGCUAACUACGUG